rnacentral:rRNA from 1 species
GAUGAACGCUGGCGGCGUGCCUAAUACAUGCAAGUCGAGCGAACGGACGAGAAGCUUGCUUCUCUGAUGUUAGCGGCGGACGGGUGAGUAACACGUGGAUAACCUACCUAUAAGACUGGGAUAACUUCGGGAAACCGGAGCUAAUACCGGAUAAUAUUUUGAACCGCAUGGUUCAAAAGUGAAAGAUGGUCUUGCUGUCACUUAUAGAUGGAUCCGCGCUGCAUUAGCUAGUUGGUAAGGUAACGGCUUACCAAGGCAACGAUGCAUAGCCGACCUGAGAGGGUGAUCGGCCACACUGGAACUGAGACACGGUCCAGACUCCUACGGGAGGCAGCAGUAGGGAAUCUUCCGCAAUGGGCGAAAGCCUGACGGAGCAACGCCGCGUGAGUGAUGAAGGUCUUCGGAUCGUAAAACUCUGUUAUUAGGGAAGAACAUAUGUGUAAGUAACUGUGCACAUCUUGACGGUACCUAAUCAGAAAGCCACGGCUAACUACGUGCCAGCAGCCGCGGUAAUACGUAGGUGGCAAGCGUUAUCCGGAAUUAUUGGGCGUAAAGCGCGCGUAGGCGGUUUUUUAAGUCUGAUGUGAAAGCCCACGGCUCAACCGUGGAGGGUCAUUGGAAACUGGAAAACUUGAGUGCAGAAGAGGAAAGUGGAAUUCCAUGUGUAGCGGUGAAAUGCGCAGAGAUAUGGAGGAACACCAGUGGCGAAGGCGACUUUCUGGUCUGUAACUGACGCUGAUGUGCGAAAGCGUGGGGAUCAAACAGGAUUAGAUACCCUGGUAGUCCACGCCGUAAACGAUGAGUGCUAAGUGUUAGGGGGUUUCCGCCCCUUAGUGCUGCAGCUAACGCAUUAAGCACUCCGCCUGGGGAGUACGACCGCAAGGUUGAAACUCAAAGGAAUUGACGGGGACCCGCACAAGCGGUGGAGCAUGUGGUUUAAUUCGAAGCGACGCGAAGAACCUUACCAAAUCUUGACAUCCUUUGACAACUCUAGAGAUAGAGCCUUCCCCUUCGGGGGACAAAGUGACAGGUGGUGCAUGGUUGUCGUCAGCUCGUGUCGUGAGAUGUUGGGUUAAGUCCCGCAACGAGCGCAACCCUUAAGCUUAGUUGCCAUCAUUAAGUUGGGCACUCUAAGUUGACUGCCGGUGACAAGCCGGAGGAAGGUGGGGAUGACGUCAAAUCAUCAUGCCCCUUAUGAUUUGGGCUACACACGUGCUACAAUGGACAAUACAAAGGGCAGCGAAACCGCGAGGUCAAGCAAAUCCCAUAAAGUUGUUCUCAGUUCGGAUUGUAGUCUGCAACUCGACUACAUGAAGCUGGAAUCGCUAGUAAUCGUAGAUCAGCAUGCUACGGUGAAUACGUUCCCGGGUCU